rnacentral:tRNA from 1 species
GCGCCUAUAGCUCAACUGGACAGAGCACUUGACUUCGGAUCAAGGGGUUGUGGGUUCAAAUCCUGCUAGGCGCG